UUCACGUGGCAGAGAGAGAGAGAGAGACAGCAAGCCGGGAGGAAUGUGUGUCUUUUAUAUGACCUAGCCUCAGAAGUCACAUAGCAUCACUUCCGUUCUACUGUAUAGGUCUGAGCAGUCGGUGAUGAGAAUUUUGACUUCAGUUGCACUGUCCUUGCAGACUCUAACAUUAGGAGUUUGUAGCUCUUUAGGGGGUAAGAGAACCACAGGUAAAGCUGGAGUUGAUACUGACCAAAACUUGCUUUCCUACCUGCCAUGCUCCAUGGCAGUGCUGUCGUAGAGGAGUUUCUGUAAUGAUGAAACAAAUGUUCUGGCCCUGUGCUGUCCAAUGUGUCACGUGUGGCUACUGAGCACUUGAAAUGUGACUGGUGUGAUUGAGAAACUGAAUUUUACACUUCAUUUCAAAGGAUUAUAAAUCAUGCUGCUAUAAAGACACAUGCACACAUAUGUUUACUGCGGCACUAUUCACAAUAGCAAAGACUUGGAACCCCAAAUGUCCAUAAAUGAUAGACUGGAUUAAGAAAAUGUGGCACAUAUACACCAUGGAAUGCUAUGCAGCCAUAAAAAAGGAUGAGUUCAUGUCCUUUGUAGGGACAUGGAUGAAGCUGGAAACCAUCAUUCUGAGCAAACUUUUGCAAGGACAGAAAACCAAACACUGCAUGUUCUCAUUCACAGGUGGGAUUUGAACAAUGAGAACACUUGGACACAGGGUGGGGGACAUCACACCUGGGGGCCU
rnacentral:lncRNA from 10 species